GUACUUUCCUGGCAGGGGAGUUGUCUUGCCAUGGUCAUGUGACUGCUUUUCCCAGGGUAAGACUCAUCCAUUGUAUUCUUCACGUGCUGAUCCUAGGAUUUCCCUAAACAUGGGGACCAACAUUGCUGGAUUUAUGGUGUGAGGCUA
rnacentral:snRNA from 1 species